UCACUUGCAUGUUGUACUUGUGCUUACUUAGGAUGUUUCUUUACUACUAGCAUGUCUUUGUGGUUUGAGGACUUGUAAUAUUAUUUUUGACCUUUAAUUAACUUGAACUGUUUUAUUGCCAUGUAUUCCUAGCACACUAAAACUGCUUGGUUAAGCUUUUACUGAUGGAUGUAGUUGAUACUUGACUGUGCUCCAUCUUUUAAUUUAAGCUUUGUGUUUUCUCAGUAGAAAUAUGAAAAGGGACUGAAGGACACCAGGGUCUUGGGAACUUGUCUGCUCAAGAGGCAGCAAAUGUGGGUAAGAGUUUGUUCUCCCCUGAAGAAUAUCUUGUCAGCUAUAUAUGCAACUUGAAAUGUUUCCACUCUCCCAAAAUUUAGAUAAAUGAUGUGUUUAUGGCAUUCUAUGCCCAAUCUGAUGAAGGUCAGCAGACAUUCAUUUCAUAAUCUUGCUCUGGUUUCUCAGUUUGAUGCCACUUAUGUGCUUGCUUCGGACUGCUGGAGUUGCCUGCUUUCGUCUAUUCAUGUCACGAUUCUUAAUUCUCUGGCAGGCACUCUUGCCAACAAAAGCUCUAUCUAGUGGAUCGCCAAUCUGGUCAAAUGUGGAUCUAUUGUGUAAACCCCUUGUAGGUGUUGGCAAUGAUUCACUGUUAGAAUUACCCCUUUGAUUGCUUGAACAAGACGUUCUUAAGUAUGAAUCUGAUACCAGAUGAAGUUGAAACAAAA